CAAUAGCGUAUAUUAAAGUUGUUGCAGUUAAAAAGCUCGUAGUUGGAUUUGUGGCGUACGGUGUGUUCCGGGCACUUGUUGUCUGAGUAACCUGCUGUUGCCAUCCUUGGGUGGAACCUGUGUGGCAUUAGGUUGUCGUGCAGGGGAUGCCCAUCAUUUACUGUGAAAAAAUUAGAGUGUUCAAAGCGGGCUUAUGCCGUUGAAUAUAUUAGCAUGGAAUAAUGAGAUAGGACUUUUUUGCUAUUUUGUUGGUUUGCGCAAGAAGGUAAUGAUUAAUAGGGACAGUUGGGGGUAUUCGUAUUCCAUUGUCAGAGGUGAAAUUCUUGGAUUUUUGGAAGACGAACUACUGCGAAAGCAUUUACCAAGGAUGUUUUCAUUAA
rnacentral:rRNA from 1 species